UAAGGAAUAUUGGACAAUGGAGGCAACUCUGAUCCAGCCAUGCCGCGUGAAGGAUUAAGGCCCUAUGGGUUGUAAACUUCUUUUAGACGGGACAAAACCCCUUUACGUGUAAAGGGUUGAUGGUACUGUCAGAAUAAGCAUCGGCUAACUUCGUGCCAGCAGCCGCGGUAAUACGAAGGAUGCAAGCGUUAUCCGGAAUUAUUGGGUUUAAAGGGUGCGUAGGCGGACUAAUAAGUCAGUGGUGAAAGCCUGCAGCUUAACUGCAGAAUUGCCGUUGAUACUGUUAGUCUUGAGUACAGUUGAGGUAGGCGGAAUGUGUCAUGUAGCGGUGAAAUGCUUAGAUAUGACACAGAACACCGAUUGCGAAGGCAGCUUGCUAAGCUGUAACUGACGCUGAGGCACGAAAGCGUGGGGAGCAAACAGG
rnacentral:rRNA from 1 species